rnacentral:rRNA from 1 species
UACGUAGGGUGCAAGCGUUGUCCGGACUUAUUGGGCGUAAAGAGCUCGUAGGCGGUUUGUUGCGUCGGCUGUGAAAUCCCGAGGCUCAACCUCGGGUCUGCAGUCGAUACGAGCAAACUAGAGUGUUGCAGGGGAGACUGGAAUUCCUGGUGUAGCGGUGAAAUGCGCAGAUAUCCGGAGGAACACCGGUGGCGAAGGCGGCGGCCUGGACCGACACUGACGCUGAGGCGCGAAAGCUAGGGGAGCAAACGGG